GCCCGCUUAGCUCAGUGGUAGAGCGCGUCACUUGUAACGGAUCAUCAGAUCCGAGAGAUGAUGAGGUCGGUUGUUCAAUCCAGCCAGUGGGCA
rfam:Suillus luteus TH-Slu-Lm8-n1 unplaced genomic scaffold CY34scaffold_3, whole genome shotgun sequence.